GCUCAGAACGAACGCUGGCGGCAGGCUUAACACAUGCAAGUCGAACGCCCCGCAAGGGGAGUGGCAGACGGGUGAGUAACGCGUGGGAAUCUACCGUGCCCUGCGGAAUAGCUCCGGGAAACUGGAAUUAAUACCGCAUACGCCCUACGGGGGAAAGAUUUAUCGGGGUAUGAUGAGCCCGCGUUGGAUUAGCUAGUUGGUGGGGUAAAGGCCUACCAAGGCGACGAUCCAUAGCUGGUCUGAGAGGAUGAUCAGCCACAUUGGGACUGAGACACGGCCCAAACUCCUACGGGAGGCAGCAGUGGGGAAUAUUGGACAAUGGGCGCAAGCCUGAUCCAGCCAUGCCGCGUGAGUGAUGAAGGCCUUAGGGUUGUAAAGCUCUUUCACCGGUGAAGAUAAUGACGGUAACCGGAGAAGAAGCCCCGGCUAACUUCGUGCCAG
rnacentral:rRNA from 1 species